rnacentral:rRNA from 1 species
AUUGAACGCUGGCGGCAGGCCUAACACAUGCAAGUCGAACGGUAACAGGAAGCAGCUUGCUGCUUUGCUGACGAGUGGCGGACGGGUGAGUAAUGUCUGGGAAACUGCCCGAUGGAGGGGGAUAACUACUGGAAACGGUAGCUAAUACCGCAUAACGUCGCAAGACCAAAGAGGGGGACCUUAGGGCCUCUUGCCAUCGGAUGUGCCCAGAUGGGAUUAGCUAGUAGGUGGGGUAACGGCUCACCUAGGCGACGAUCCCUAGCUGGUCUGAGAGGAUGACCAGCCACACUGGAACUGAGACACGGUCCAGACUCCUACGGGAGGCAGCAGUGGGGAAUAUGGCACAAUGGGCGCAAGCCUGAUGCAGCCAUGCCGCGUGUAUGAAGAAGGCCUUCGGGUUGUAAAGUACUUUCAGCGGGGAGGAAGGGAGUAAAGUUAAUACCUUUGCUCAUUGACGUUACCCGCAGAAGAAGCACCGGCUAACUCCGUG